ensembl:lncRNA
AACGACGACCAUGGAUCAAGGCUUGGCUCCUUUUUAACAAGAUAAAGGCUUCUGGGAAGAUUUGGCACAGUCAUUCACGUUUAGGCAACAGGUGACACCUCCAUGGAAAUUGGGAACCGUCUGUUGUUGUUGUUCAUUAUGAUGUCCAAAUCUUCAUCCCCCAGGCAUAUAUCCUACCUCUCUUUGAACGUCCAAUCUGCCCCAGUUUGGGCGCCCGCUGAACAUUCCUCUGUUGAGUCGGAUGGCGGUGAGGUGCAUUCUGAUCUGCACGGCCAUUCAGGUGGUUGGACAGGACCAUGGUACUCGGUUGUAGAGAGCCUAUCGGCGGCAGAAGAUCGGGCAUCCCCGGAAUGCCGUACAUUUCCGCUGCAAGCUAAACCGUCAAGGAGGAAGAAGGGACUGAAAGCCUGCAAGUGCAAAUUGCAUCCGAAUGGAAGUCUGUCCUGUCGAAAGGGGAAUGCCGCCAAAUUUGCCACCAUUAUCAAAUGCCUCUGCAAGAGAACAUUCCAUCAUUCUGAAUUGACUGACAACCUGAGGAGAACUCUCCAGAAGCACUGUGGCCUUUCCAAACCACUGUAGUGGCACGCUGUUGAGUUGAUUUUUUUCUCACUUGUUGUGGUUUUUUCUAAUUGUUUUUUUUCUAUUUUCAUUCUUUCUGUUUUUAUGUUACUCUAGAAUUCCCCUUUUCAAUAACUUUUGGCAAACAUCCAAAUUCUUAAGACUUCAGGUCUUCUGUAGGCUUCUGGUGGGCAUUUAAAAUAAGGGAGCAAAUAUUUCAACAAAGACGUUUACUACUUUUCUAUUUACAUUUGUUGUGGAAAUAAAACAAAAUAAAAACAAUUGUGUGAAAACUCAAUCAUUUGUUUUCCGGUGAUGUUUGUCACCGGAACCAUCUCCUGCCCCGUUUUUUCCCGACUUCACCUCCAACUCCAGUUAGCCCACAUCCAAAAACGAGGGGUGGCCGCCUCGGUCCCUCACAGGCUCCAGUGUGAUUGGCUUAUAUGAAGGAUCUUUUGGGGCACAUCUGUGGACUCAUUUGACCUCAGUAACAGAGGAAUCACUCUGAAACAAUCAGUGAAAGUAUUGUAACAUUAAUGUCUGUGUUGUAAAGUUGCAAUGCUAGGAUAUUAUUUUUACAGUCGUCAAAACAGAUAUUGACCAUGAGUAGAGAAUUGUCUUUAAAAAAACCUAGAGUCCAACUUUAUAUGUACCCUACAUUGUGUGACAGCACAGCCCAGCCAUACCAGGGGGAAAAAAGUAAAUAUAGGUCCUCUUUAAACGAGGCUUCACAUGAUGUACUUUUAAUGUCUGUUCAAUCAUCCUAUGUGGAGAUACAGACCUCUCUCCAUUCUUUUAGACGAAUGAUCCUAACCUUGUUUGUCUGGGGGUGAGACUUACCUAUAAGGUCUUUGGCCAGAAUCAGUUUCUGUUUGUCACAGUGGGUUCAGUGCAGGUUCAAAGGUUAUGGUCUGGGAUAUAGUAGUACUGCAUCGUAAAAACUAUGACGUUUGUCUCUCACUCCUCAAUAACACUUGCCUGUGGGGGGCACUGUGGUGCAAGCAGUAGCCCCGACCAUAUACCAUCAAUCAAUCAAUCAAUCAAUUUGUUUAUUUGAUCAAGAGGGACAGUGUACAUUCAUGAACAUUAAAAUGUAAAUGCACCCAAUUAUAGCCAAAAGACUAGUUUCCAUUGGCAGUCCCCCUGCCAGAGUGAAAAAGGCUAUACAACCUAAAAAAGGCAUUAACGUAUAUCAAACAUAACAUUGACAAUAAAUAAAAAAAAUAAGACGAGCUUGAACGCCC